rnacentral:rRNA from 1 species
CGUAACGUGGACUAGUGUGGCGCAUUCACGUCGUCGUGCCGCAGUAACGCAUAAGUCCCGCCUGGGAGUACGGCCGCAAGGCUAAAAUCAAAGGAAUUGACGGGGGCCCGCACAAGCAGCGGAGCAUGUGGUUAAUUCGACGCAACGCGAAGACCUUACCAAGGCUUGACAUACACCGGAAAGCAUCAGAGAUGGUGCCCCCCUUGUGGUCGGUGUACAGGUGGUGCAUGGCUGUCGUCAGCUCGUGUCGUGAGAUGUUGGGUUAAGUCCCGCAACGAGCGCAACCCUUGUUCUGUGUUGCCAGCAUGCCCUUCGGGGUGAUGGGGACUCACAGGAGACUGCCGGGGUCAACUCGGAGGAAGGUGGGGACGACGUCAAGUCAUCAUGCCCCUUAUGUCUUGGGCUGCACACGUGCUACAAUGGCCGGUACAAUGAGCUGCGAUGCCGCGAGGCGGAGCGAAUCUCAAAAAGCCGGUCUCAGUUCGGAUUGGGGUCUGCAACUCGACCCCAUGAAGUCGGAGUUGCUAGUAAUCGCAGAUCAGCAUUGCUGCGGUGAAUACGUUCCCGGGCCUUGUACACACCGCCCGUCACGUCACGAAAGUCGGUAACGACCCGAAGCCGGUGGCCCAACCCCUUGUGGGAGAGGAGCUGUCGGUAGAGCGUUGGAGUCUGCGCGGCGACGGG